UAGAUUAGGGUAAGCUUCUCUAAAUAAAUGUGUUUUUAGAGAUCUCUUGAAGGCAGAGAGAUUGGGAGAAAGUCUGAUGGUUUGUGGGAGCGAAUGCCAGAGAAGGAGGA